AACAACAGAUCCUCUCAAACUCCUGUAAGAUGUCCUAUUUCUACACCCAUUUCACAGAUGAAGAAACUGAGGCACAGGGGGACUAAUAAACAACCUGCCCAAAGACCCAAACAUGAUUAGGUAAAUAAAGAUCACUCAUGUUCUUGUAAACUGGAUCCAGUUAAUGAUGUCAACUCCUCUCCAAGCCCUCAAGAUGGAAACCAGACCCCCCACCACCACCCUUUUCCUGAACAUCAUUCAGACCCCAACAUAGCUUUUUCCUUUGAAAUCCUUUUCACCCAGGUCUCCUAGCCUCCCACCCAGAUUCCUGCAGCAGUCUCCAGCUGGGUCUCUCCUUUCUGGGAUUUCUAGCCCCUCUGAUCUUUCCUGUAUCCUAGACAAGAACCCAGAUAAAAUGCCGCUGUGUGAGCUCAUUCUGCCGGAAUGUUCCCCAAGGGCAGAUUCCAGUCCUGUUGUUCUCAGUAGUGUGUGACAUGGGCAAAGCACCUGACCUCCCAGGGCAGCUCUUUGCUCAAUUAUAACAGAAGGUUAAUUGCGCCUGCCCCUCCGUGUCGGAUGAGAAUGAUGAGAUAUUAUACAGAACACACAGGUCAGUGCCGGACAUGAAGAAACACCCGAUAAUCUGUUACGUCUUCCCUCCUUUCCUCCUUCACCUUCCUCCUCUCUUCCCUCCUCCUCUCCACGGUCUCAUAGAUGCCGGCCAGCAGAGCCAAUCACUCCCCCUGAAUGCUGUCCUUCAACAUCCCACAUCACCUUCCUGUCCACCCCACUACCACCUCACUCCCACUCAGGUCAGUAAGUUCUCCCAAGCUCUGGACCCUUUUCUGUGACUCUCUGGUCAGCAUUUCCUUUUGCCUUUUCUGAAGGCGCUGACCAUACAGUCCUUGGCUCUGCCUGGUGUUGCACCAAACUGUUUCUUGAUUAUUUCCUAUUGGCUCCAUUCUUUUCAGGGAAAAUCAUGCCAGACUCCACAGAACCAAUGAUUAAUGACAGUGCCUGGGACAGGUUCUUCCCACCCCCCACACACAGCCAGGCUACAGAACCAUUCCAGGAAAACUCACGUUGAGGAGCCAGUGAUCACUGUGCUCAGAAGUUCUAGGAAGCUCCUUAUCAUGAGGAGUCCUUGAAAUACAGGGGAACCAGUCUCACCCCCAGAAAUGGUUAUCAGCAAGUCCAGCCUCAUCGCCCAGUUCUCUCCCCAGGCCGUCUGUCCUGGGGCUCCUUUCUCCUCCCACCCAAAUGGACAAGGGCUGGGUAGUCUGCUUUGUUUGGGACUGUGAUGAUUUUAAAGUUGGAAAUCCCUCAUCACCCCCCUCACUAAGUCUCAGGCAUGCUAGGGAGGCUGGUCCCCGUAUUGACCACUCAGAUAACAGCUUUUUUUUUGAGAGGGUCAAAAAAAAAAAAAA
rnacentral:lncRNA from 1 species